rnacentral:rRNA from 1 species
GACGAACGCUGGCGGCGUGCCUAAUACAUGCAAGUCGAACGCUUCUUUCCUCCCGAGUGCUUGCACUCAAUUGGAAAGAGGAGUGGCGGACGGGUGAGUAACACGUGGGUAACCUACCCAUCAGAGGGGGAUAACACUUGGAAACAGGUGCUAAUACCGCAUAACAGUUUAUGCCGCAUGGCAUAAGAGUGAAAGGCGCUUUCGGGUGUCGCUGAUGGAUGGACCCGCGGUGCAUUAGCUAGUUGGUGAGGUAACGGCUCACCAAGGCCACGAUGCAUAGCCGACCUGAGAGGGUGAUCGGCCACACUGGGACUGAGACACGGCCCAGACUCCUACGGGAGGCAGCAGUAGGGAAUCUUCGGCAAUGGACGAAAGUCUGACCGAGCAACGCCGCGUGAGUGAAGAAGGUUUUCGGAUCGUAAAACUCUGUUGUUAGAGAAGAACAAGGGCGUUAGUAACUGAACGUCCCCUGACGGUAUCUAACCAGAAAGCCACGGCUAACUACGUGCCAGCAGCCGCGGUAAUACGUAGGUGGCAAGCGUUGUCCGGAUUUAUUGGGCGUAAAGCGAGCGCAGGCGGUUUCUUAAGUCUGAUGUGAAAGCCCCCGGCUCAACCGGGGAGGGUCAUUGGAAACUGGGAGACUUGAG